AAAAACAUAGCUCCUUGUUUAUAUAAGGAGUAAUGCCUGCCCGGUGGUAAUUACUUAACGGCUGCGGUAUCCUGACCGUGCGAAGGUAGCAUAAUCAUUUGUCUUUUAAAUGAAGACUUGUAUGAAUGGCGUUACAUUUUUAAACUGUCUCCCUUAUUUUUCUUUUAAUCUUCUAUAUAUGUGAAGAAGCAUAUAUUUAAUAGAAAGACGAGAAGACCCUGUCGAGCUUUAAUUUUAAAGAUAAAAUUUUCAAUUUUUAUCAUGAAAAUUUUGGUUGGGGUAACCAUAGAGUUGAAAUCUCUAGUUUUAUAGAAGAGUUUUACUCUCUAAAAAAGUUUUAUGAACCAGUUUUUCUGAAAUCAGAAUAAGUUACCGCAGGGAUAACAGCGUUAUCUUCUUUGAGAGUUCUUAUUGACAAGAAGGAUUGCGACCUCGAUGUUGGAUUGGGACAUCCUUAGGGUGUAGCAGCUUUAAAGGGUUGGACUGUUCGUCCAUUAAAGUCCUACGUGAUCUGA
rnacentral:rRNA from 1 species